rnacentral:rRNA from 1 species
AUUGAACGCUGGCGGCGUGCCUAACACAUGCAAGUCGAGCGGCAGCGCGGGAGCAAUCCUGGCGGCGAGCGGCGGACGGGUGAGUAACGCUUGGGAAUCUGGCCUGUUAGGUGGGGGACAACCCGGGGAAACUCGGGCUAAUACCGCAUACGCACUACGGUGGAAAGCCGGGGACCGCAAGGCCUGGCGCUAACAGAUGAGCCCAAGUCGGAUUAGCUAGUUGGUAGGGAACGGCCUACCAAGG